CACGUAGGGUGCGAGCGUUGUCCGGAAUUAUUGGGCGUAAAGAGCUCGUAGGCGGUGUGUCGCGUCGGCCGUGAAAACCUGCAGCUUAACUGUGGGCUUGCGGUCGAUACGGGCAUCACUGGAGUUCGGCAGGGGAGACUGGAAUUCCUGGUGUAGCGGUGAAAUGCGCAGAUAUCAGGAGGAACACCGAUGGCGAAGGCAGGUCUCUGGGCAUUAACUGACGCUGAGAAGCGAA
rnacentral:rRNA from 1 species